GUUUCUUUUGCCUGUAGAAGCUCCUCUUUCCUUCAUAUCUCCUCUAGCACAAGGCAUGGGGUGUGGUCAGUAUUGAUUCUUGCUUUCUACUCUUCAAUUUUUGCAGAAAUGGGGAGAGUUGCUCCUUCUACGUGCACAUGGUUCCUGGAAGGUGAAAUUUUAAUGUAAACCAUUGUGAGACAUUCACUUCUGAAUGAGAAAGGAAAAAUGUCUUCUUCUAAGUGUCUAUUGACUUUUAUGGAUGUGGCUAUAGAGUUCUCUAAGGAGGAGUGGGAAUGUCUGGAUUCUGCUCAGAGAGCUUUGUACAGAGAUGUCAUCUUGGAGCAUUACAAUAACCUGGUUUCUGUGGGUGUUGCUCUUUCAAUGUCAGAGGUAACCUUCUGUCCUGAACAAAACAAAGAAACAUGAAUUGCUGAUAGAGACAAUAUGGAAGGAAAAAAAAAACAGGAAAUUUGAAGUGAAAUUAUAUCAAGAAGCUACUCCCCAAAGGACAUAACAGGAUUACUUCCAAAAUGAAAUAUCACAAAUAUUUGGAUGUAGUAGCCUUUCAGAUCUAUAUUGAAACAAGUUCUGGAAAGAUAGAUGUGAUAGUACAGAGUAUGAACUAUAUGAUUAUGUAAAUGAUCAAUUGGAAAAGCACAUCUUUUCCAUUUCUAACAAUUAUCAAGAAGCUCUAACUUCCCUUGAAAGAAGUUAUUCUGGUUCACUCUCAUUUUCACAACUGAAGGAUUCUCUAGGAAAACAUUCACAAGAUUUGAAACACAACACUAUUUUACACAGAAAUAUACAAACAUUACAAAGUGACAUUUGGGAGAAUAAAUUGAUUUUCCUGAUGUGUAUAUUACAGAAUAUGAGAUUAAACAGUGCUUCAGUUCUCUAUGAACAAAUGAGAUGGUAGAGCCAUGAAAAAGGUACUGAAUGUCAUCAAGGUGAAGGAAUCUUCUCUUAAAACUUAUGGCAUUUCCCAUAGCAAAACCUACUCACUGACAAGGAGUAUGAUGUAGAUCAACAUAAGAAAGAAUCUACGAAUGCAAUGAAUCAUGGAAGAUAUAAUGUGGGAGGUAAUUUUAAAAGCUCUAAAACGAUAAUUGAUAUUAAUAUAGGCUUUGUUAAGAAUCCUUUACUAGUGUAUUACGUAGGCAAUCAAUAUAGAGAGAUAUUAUAUCAAGGUAAUGCCUUAUUAGAAGAUUCUAUUUGUAAAACUCAUCCAAGUGAAAAUCAGAUAAGCAGCUUUAUUCCAGAAUAUCAUUAUAGCAAGCAUAAAAAAGUAGCUAUCUUUAAUCCCUGCUCCCAGUCUUCUUCACAACAGCAUACUACAGAGAAACUGUUUAUGAAUGAAAACAAGAAUGCCAUUUUAAGUGAAUCUUCAAUUCAUAGCUGGUAUACUGGACCAUGGAUAAAUGGAGAGUCCAAGAGAUACCUCUAUGAUACAUACAGGGAUGCCUCAAAUGAAUCAUUAAAUUUAGAGAGAACAUGUAAAGCAAAUGAAUGUAAUAAGUAUGAGAAAUCAUUUAUCCAGUCCUCAAAUCUUCCAGCUUAUUAUAGAACUCCUACCCAAGAGACACAUUACAAAUGUAAUGAAUGUUGAAAAUUAUUUAUCUGUUCCUCAAGUCUUAAAGUGAGCCAUGAAAACUGUACAGGAGAAAGAAUUCAUAAAGAUAAUAACUCUGGAAAAUCAUUUUCACAGUUCUCAAAACUUCAAGUUCACUACAGAAUCCACACAGGAGAGAAACCUUACAAAUGUAAUGAAUGUGGGAAAUCUUUCCACAGAAAAAUGUGCUUAAAGUUCACUACAGAACUCAUACAGGAGAGAAACCUUACAAAUGUAAUGAAUGUGGGAAAUCUUUUACACAAUCAUCAAAUCUUCAAGGUCACUACAGAAUCCACACAGGAGAGAAACCUCACAAAUGUUCUGAAUGUGGGAAAUUGUUUACACACAACUCACGGCUUCAAGUUCACUACAGAAUCCACACAGGAGAGAAACCUUACAAAUGUAAUGAAUGUGGGAAAUCGUUUACACGGAACUCACAACUUCAAGUUCACUACAGAAUCCAUACAGGAGAGAAGCCUAACAAAUGUAACAAAUGUGGCAAAUCUUUUACACUGAAGAAGGUGCUUAAAGUUCACUACAUAAUUCAUACAGGAAUAAAACCUUACAAAUGUAAUGAAUGUGGGAAAUCUUUGGCACAGAACUCAGAGCUUAAAUAUCACUACAGAAUCCAUACAGGAGAGAAGCCUUACAAAUGUUCUAAAUAUGGCAAAUCUUUUUUUCCAUUUUUUAUUAGGUAUUUAACUCAUUUCCAUUUCCAAUGCUAUACCAAAAGUCCCCCAUACCCACCCACCCCCACUCCCCUACCCACCCACUCCCCCUUUUUGGCCCUGGCGUUCCCCUGUUCUGGGGCAUAUAAAGUUUGCAAGUCCAAUGGGCCUCUCUUUGCAGUGAUGGCCGACUAGGCCAUCUUUUGAUACAUAUGCAGCUAGAGAAAAGAGCUCCGGGGUACUGCUUAGUUCAUAUUGUUGUUCCACCUAUAGGGUUGCAGUUCCCUUUAGUUCCUAGGGUGUUUUCUCUAGUUCCUCCAAUGUGGGCCCUGUGGUCCAUUCAAUAGCUGACUGUGGCAAAUCUUUUAAAAGGAGCACAUACUUUAAAAUUCACCAUAGAAUCCAUACAGGAGAGAGACCUUACAAAUGUAAUGAGUGUGGCAAAUCUUUUAUCCAGAACUCAGACCUUAAAGUUCACCAACAAAUUCAUACAGGAGAGAAACCUUGCAAAUGUAAUGAGUGUGAGAAAUCUUUUACACAGUCCUACAAACUUCCAGUUCACUACAGAAUCCAUACAGGACAGAAGCCUUACAAAUGUGAUGAAUGUGGAAAAUCUUUUAUACAGAACUCAGAGCUUAAAGUUCACUACAGAAUACAUACAGGAGAGAAACCUUACAAAUGUAAGGAAUGUGGGAAAUCUUUUACACAAUCCUACAAACUUCAAGUUCAGUACAGAAUCCAUACAGGACAGAAACCUUACAAAU
rnacentral:lncRNA from 1 species